CCCUUAGACGUUCUGGGCCGCACGCGCGCUACACUGACGAAGGCAACGAGCUUUCCUUUACCGAAAGGUACGGGUAAUCUUUUGAAACUUCGUCGUGCUGGGGAUAGAUCCUUGCAAUUUUUGAUCUUAAAUGAGGAAUUCCUAGUAAGCGCAAGUCAUCAACUUGCGUUGAUUACGUCCCUGCCCUUUGUACACACCGCCCGUCGCUACUACCGAUUGAAUGGUUUAGUGAGGCCUUCGGAUCCGCGACUCGUUUUGUGGAGAAGUUGGACAAACUCAGUCAUUUAGAGGAAGUAAAAGUCGUAACA
rnacentral:rRNA from 1 species